rnacentral:rRNA from 1 species
AAAUUGAAGAGUUUGAUCAUGGCUCAGAUUGAACGCUGGCGGCAGGCCUAACACAUGCAAGUCGAACGGUGACAGGAAGAAGCUUGCUUCUUUGCUGACGAGUGGCGGACGGGUGAGUAAUGUCUGGGAAACUGCCUGAUGGAGGGGGAUAACUACUGGAAACGGUAGCUAAUACCGCAUAACGUCGCAAGACCAAAG